rnacentral:hammerhead_ribozyme from 1 species
AUCCAGCUGACGAGUCCAAAAUAAGACGAAACGCUCAUUUUGGAU